GUAAUAUCAGAUGUGAGCACAGAAAAACUGCAGUGUAUAUUAUGCUAUGUUGGUUGCCUAUGACGCCAAGUAUAUACCAUAAACUCAUUGGUGAGACAGAUAACUUGGUACUCAAUACAUAAAGAGGAUAGCAUAGUAAAUGAAUGCUUUAAUACAUGUUAUCCCCAAUAUCAUUUAGAGCCAUAGAUUUAUACUAGGUAUAUGAGAAAUGAAAAUUGGAUAUAACUCAGACCACUCAGGGCAAGAGCAAACUGGUCAUUUGAGUGCAGAUCACCCCAUGAGCCCAUUUCAGCUUCUCUAGAUAUAAUUCUGCGUAACUACGUAAACUUGCCUUGGAAAAUGGAUAGGGAAUAAAUGAAGACAUAAAUGAUAAUAUUCUAACCAUUUAGUGUCACAAAUUUCUAAAAGAUUAACCCUGCAUUACGCUAAUUCAUCAUAAAGAAGCCCAUGUCACAAUAAAGCUCAAUUCUUUAUUCCAUCAAGCAAGCAAAUUCUAGCAUAAAACUCAUAUUUCAUAAUAAUAACCAAUAUUGUUGCUGACAAACCAAGCAUCAACAGCCACUUGACAACUCACAUAACUUAGCUUAGGCUCGCUGGUAGGCCAGC
rnacentral:misc_RNA from 1 species